rnacentral:sRNA from 1 species
UUGAUCGCUGAAUCCGUAUGGAACGGGGGAACCAAUUUUUAUAGUGGCAUUUUGCUACUGGGGUGAAUCCUUCAUUGAAGGUAGGGUUACUUCUUGACCCGAAUCCGACAGCUAACUUCGUAAGCGUUAGGGAGAGGAU